GUCACAGUGGAUGAGGGUGGGUCCCAAGCCACAUGACUGGUGCCUAAUAAAAGAAGAAGACAGACAUACACAGGGAAGAUAGCGGAAGAAGAUGGCCAAAGGCACUGGAACGACUCGAUGACAAGAUGGAAUGGCAAGGGCUGCCUGGAGCUGCCAGAAGCCAGGGUGCAAGGUGGAGCAAGGAUUCUCCCCUAGAGAAGCCUUCGAGGGAACACAGCCAACUUACACUUUCACUUUGUGUAUCAACUUUCCAGAAUGUGGGAGAACAAAUUUCUGUGGCUUUGAAACAUCCAGUGUGUGCUCAUUUGUUACACAACUCUAGCACACUAACACGUGUGUGCUGUGAAUCCUAAACAGAUCGCCCAUGCAGAGGCUGAGAGCAAGCCCCGGCCCCAGCCAAAAUCUCACUGCUGCAACGCAGCACGCACACACAAUCUGCGGGGAUGGAGUUAUUUCAGAGCCAAG
rnacentral:lncRNA from 1 species